AGAUGCGAUCAUACCAGCACUAAUGCACCGGAUUCCAUCAGAACUCCGCAGUUAAGGGUGCUUGGGCAAGAGUUGUACUAGGAUGGAUUACCUCCCGGAAAGUCCUCAUGUUGCAUCCC
rfam:Arabidopsis thaliana chromosome 3, complete sequence.